rnacentral:lncRNA from 1 species
UAGCGGAAACCUUCCUCGCUACUUCGCUUAAAACCGCAGGGCGAGAGGCGUCGAAAGAGGCAAGCGAGCAAGCAAACCUGAGGAGACGCAAAGCGACGAACCCACGAUCGCGCUCGAGUCGAAGAACGGAGAUCGGCGGUCCGAUGAUCGGAAAGGCUUUGCACGGCGAGAGAGCGACGGAGAGAGAGAGGCGGAAAGACGGCGGAG